rnacentral:rRNA from 1 species
AACGAACGCUGGCGGCAGGCCUAACACAUGCAAGUCGAGCGAGGUAGCAAUACCUAGCGGCGGACGGGUGAGUAACGCGUGGGAACGCACCCUUUGCUACGGAAUAGCCCCGGGAAACUGGGAGUAAUACCGUAUGUGCCCUUCGGGGGAAAGAUUUAUCGGCAAAGGAUCGGCCCGCGUUGGAUUAGGUAGUUGGUGGGGUAAUGGCCUACCAAGCCGACGAUCCAUAGCUGGUUUGAGAGGAUGAUCAGCCACACUGGGACUGAGACACGGCCCAGACUCCUACGGGAGGCAGCAGUGGGGAAUCUUAGACAAUGGGCGCAAGCCUGAUCUAGCCAUGCCGCGUGAGUGAUGAAGGCCUUAGGGUUGUAAAGCUCUUUCAGAUGGGAAGAUAAUGACGGUACCAUCAGAAGAAGCCCCGGCUAACUCCGUG